rnacentral:misc_RNA from 1 species
UAAAUGAAUUAGCUGGACUUGUUUGUGAGGACUGGUUUGACUUGGCGUAAUAAGUAUUUCGCCAAGGACAUUGCUUUGGUAAUGGCCAGCCUCUCAACGACUGUCUGCUUUCUAACUCUUGUGUUCAGUCUCUCAUGAUGUUGACACUUUUUCUCUCAUGAUCUGGCCUCAAAUCAGGUAGGACUACCCGCUGAACUUAA